UACGUAGGGGGCUAGCGUUGUCCGGAAUCAUUGGGCGUAAAGAGCGUGUAGGCGGUCCGGUCAGUCGGCUGUGAAAGUCCAGGGCUCAACCCUGGGAUGCCGGUCGAUACUGCCGGACUAGAGUUCGGAAGAGGCGAGUGGAAUUCCAGGUGUAGCGGUGAAAUGCGUAGAUAUCUGGAGGAACAUCAGUGGCGAAAGCGGCUUCCUGACCAGCACCGACGUUCAGGCACGAAAGCCGCUGGGGAAGCAAACACGGGAAUUAGAGUACCCGGUCGUAAGUCCACGGAUCCAAGUACCCUCG
rnacentral:rRNA from 1 species